AGAACGAACGCUGGCGGCGUGCCUAACACAUGCAAGUCGAGCGGUAACAGGUGUAGCAAUACAUGCUGACGAGCGGCGAACGGGUGAGUAAUGCUUUGGAAUCUUCCCAGUAGUGGGGAAUAACCAGUCGAAAGAUUGGCUAAUACCGCAUACGUCUGUAAAGGGAAAGCGGGGGCUCGUAAGACCUCGCGCUAUUGGAUGAGCCAAAGUCGGAUUAGCUAGUUGGUGGGGUAAUGGCCUACCAAGGCGACAAUCCGUAGCUGGUCUGAGAGGACGACCAGCCACACCGGAACUGAGACACGGUCCGGACUCCUACGGGAGGCAGCAGUGGGGAAUAUUGGACAAUGGGGGAAACCCUGAUCCAGCGACGCCGCGUGUGUGAAGAAGGCCUGCGGGUUGUAAAGCACUUUUAGUGGGGACAAAAGCUACGGAUUAAUACUCUGUGGUCUUGAUUUAACCCAAAGAAAAAGCACCGGCUAACUCUGUGCCAGCAGCCGC
rnacentral:rRNA from 1 species